AGAAUAGAAUUAAGGGAAUUAAUAGAAUAAUAUAAUUAAUAGAAACAUGGGAUCUUGUGCUAGUUCGAGAAUUAGUUACAGACCGCACAAGAGUUUGAACACAUCAUAAAUCGUAUUGUAACGAAUGGGUAUUAAGUAGACUGACUAGUGUUGUCAUCCCGUAUUAUAUUAGACAUAUCCAGUCUGGGCUCGGAGUUGUUCGUAAAAUCCCCAGAAUUCUGUAUAAACGUAACAACUGGUGUCAGAAUAUGAUGCUGCAGAUUAAGGGUCAAGGUGACAAAAAACAACAGAUGGUGCUGCAGAUGAAGGAUUAAGGUGAUCAACAGCAAAAGAUGUUGCAAGGUGAAGCAAGGUGAACUGAUUGAAGAUCAAGGGAAACCCAGUUACAAAGAUUAUAAGCUAUGGCAAAACAGAUGCCAUGGAGAAGAGAAAAGAGAAAAAGGCCAACGUCGACAAGAAACUACAGGAUAACUCAGAAUCAGUUCAGCUUUUGGAUGAAGAGAUCAAACAGGAGAUCACAUACGUCUUGAUGGGGGAAUUUGGCAAGUGGAUAAUCGUCUCGAAGAUCGGCUCAAAAACCCAUUCCGUCAUUUGGAAUUGGGUUUUCCUGUCAGCAACAUAACAACAGCCAAACGGAAAUUUGCUACAACUAGAUUUUAUGGCACACCAACAUUUAGCGUUUUUACGCCACAAUUCGAAACGUCAGCGUCGAGGAAUAAUUGAACGGAAGCGCGGCCGCUUUUUGUGAUGUCCUUGAACGGUUUUGCUGCUGAGGUGCUACAAUCGAAUCCCGACGCAAAUAACUUGAGUUAAGAGGCUGUUAAGCGUGCCCUAGAGCAUGGUAACAGUAUUAUAAAAUUAAAAAUGAAUUGAAGUCUGGUACAAAGUUACUGAUGCUAAAAUAAUUGUAGGAAUUAAUUAGCAAUUAGGCGAUCGAAAAAUAUAAUGGAUCUGGCUAAGAA